CUAAUAAUGGGCACAAAUGAUAUAAAUGUUACAAAAUUAAGCUCAAAGCUUGCAAAUUCAUGGCUGAUCUUGUUUGAAACUGAAAUACUGGGUUGGGAGUGUCUCGAAUCCUGAGUUUCUUAUACUUCUGAUGACAUUUGGAACUGCCCAAUAACAAUCGGCUACUACAAAUGAGCAUAGUUGUCUUCACAUGGCUUGUGACUUUCUUGGUUCCUGGUGAGACAGGAGGAUCAACCCUUCUUGACCGACAAAGAGGUCCCCCGCGUGAACCCAGGUCCAUUCUCUAAUGAUACGCAAUAUAUGAUGAUACCCAAUUCAAUUUUCUCAUUUUUCUGGCUUCUUUGAACACCCCAUUUGGAUUUGGAUUUUAUGCAUGCAUGCAUGCUACAUGUUUGUUAUAAUUACAUGCUCAUAUUUUGCAGAUGUCACCUCUGCAUUUUUAUUUUAUUUUUGUUUUAUGCUUAUGUUUGUUAAAUAAAUGACAUAAGGUAAUUAGUAUGUGAUAGAAAGCAGGUCUGGAACCAGGCCCCCCUCCUUCAACCUCAAUAAGAGAUCUUUGAAUUUGUUGGACUUGGCUCCACCCUAAA